AUGAGAUCAUAACCUGAAGUGAAAUCAAGAGUCAGACCCUUAACUGACUGAGCUACUCAGGUGCCCCAGUGAGGGGCCUUUUUCAGUAAUUCAGGGUCCAGAGGGUGGAGGCUUUCAAUACUGAGCAGUGAAGACGAGAAGAAGUGUUCAUAUUCUGAGCAUUUUGAAUAUCCAACCAACAGUAUUUCCUGGAAGCUUGGAUAAGAGUUGUGAGAGGAGAAAAGUCAAAAAUGACUCUAAACUUUUAAUUCUGUGCAAGUGUUAGGAUAGAGUUGCAUUAGCAGAGAAGGGAAAGUAUGUGGGUGGAACAAGUUUGUGGAGGAAAGUCAACAUUUUAACAUUUUGGAACAUGUUGCAUCUGCAAUUUCUAUUAGAUCUUUUAUGCGUGCUAACUCAGUAUAGGAGUAAAGACACAUACAUCUUUUACCUAAUACCAGUAGAGACACCAACCUGCCACUAGUUUACAUUAUGAAUAACUAAAGAGAUGAGGGGAAAAAUCCAGAAUUGAAUAGAUGCUAUUUAUAACAUCUAUUCUUUAAUUUGUGUCCUCCUCUCCAUUUUCCAGGAAGUUGACUCCUUUUUAGAAUUUGCCUUAUUUGUGGACUAAAGAGCUCUUGCUUAUUUUUUGAUCCUGUUUUACCAAACCACCCACAAAACAACAAACAACAAAACAUGAAAAACAACAAAACUCCUCCCGUUGGUCUUCUACAGAGUGAAUAAUCAUUCUCCAGGCAUCUGUUUUUAAAAUGCACACCCGGGGCUGACACAUAACUGUGAAUUAAUGAGACUACUUUUUUAUAUUUUAUGAGACUACUUCCCUCCAGCAAAUGAAGAGGUGAUGGAGGCAACAGGGAAAGCACUAGCGACUGUGGAGAGGAAACUAUAUAGCCUGCAGGCUGUAGAUUAUCAGGAAGGGUGUGGCACUGCUGCCUGUCAUCCCUGGCGUAUCUUGGGCUAUGUUUCCCAGCUUCCUUUUCACAUGACUGAGUUCCAGCCAGCGGACCGUGAGUAGAAGUGCUCUCCAGUUUGAAGCCAAUUAUUCCCUUCAAAUCUCCUAAAAGCAGUUGAGGAAUCAACUGGGCAAGUGGGAUCACAAGUGCAUACCUUUAAAGACUGGCUUUCCUUCACUGUGACUGAUGAGACACUAACCAAGCUGGGGGAUCAAACAAGGGAUGCUUCACCAAGAAUUCCACAUGAAUGGUUUACGAUGUUGGUGAAAUGUUCUCUAUGAUACCACAAAAUGUCUUCUUAAAACCAACCAAAUAAUGUUGAUCAGUAAUUUUCCUUCUUCAAUGAUCUCUGUGGACAGAAGAGUUUGAGGCACAUGAACAAGGAAUGCUCAAGAUUAUUGGGAUCUGGAAGGUACUUUGUGAACACAUGAGGCUGCGCAGCUGUACUCUAUGAUGGUGGUUGACAUUGGUGGUGGGAAGAUUUCAACUUUUCUCUAGUUUAAGAAGAUUUAAAUAAAGACUUCCUGGUUGAUAUCUUGGAAUCCUGGCAGCUUCUGAGCAACAGUUUUCCCAAGACUCUGAGGCAGUAGUUACAUCUUUUAAGAAUCCAGAUCCAAAGUGUUGCUGCCAACAUGAAGAAAGGCUGUGUGUCUUACAAUAUUCUACUGGACUUACCGUAGAUUAGUUCUUUGGGGAUAUCUGGAACUAGUGUACCUGCACGUAAAGAUGUAAAGUUACUCGUAAGAUAAAUGUGUUUCCAGCAUGUCAGAUUGCUGUUAUCAGUAGAGCUAAAUCCAGAGACUAGAGUGAAUGGAGAAACUCAUUAACUUACUGUAAAAGUGAAUGUAUGUCUUUGAAGGACAUCAUUUCUAACUUUAAAUACAGAUAAGCCCAAUAUAAUGUGAUUUCAUUGGCCUAUAUUCUCUAAAUUUAGUAGUACCAAUUCCUGAGAUUUUGAAAUUAUUUAUAAAAAAAUAAACAUAACAUAUUUUAGAAGCCUUUUUGGUCAAAGCUGUAUUAUAUAAUAGGUUUUAUUUUCCUUGGCAUUUUAUGAAAAAGUCAAAAAAUAGCUCGACCAGUGGUAUACUUACUGGUAAAUGUUUAUUAAUCAGCUCUGAAGAUGAGGUUAGGGAAGUCUUGAUUCAUAGCAUUUGACAAUUAACAUGAUGUAAACACUCCUACAUGGCCAGUUUCAAACUACCACUGGGAUGUCAACUAGCUUAAAAACCUCCUGAAAGUUUAAUAAGUACCUCUUACGAUACAGAAUCAGUCAGAUCCAGCACACUGGCUAAGACUGAAUUUGUACAAACCAUAAAACGAUCUUCAGAACUUAAGACUUUGUCAAAUUAGUUACCUAAUGUGGACAGGGAACCUCAGAUACUCUGCCUUAUGAUCCUCCAAAUACCCAUAGAAGAAAGGAAAACAUAAUAAGAAUAAGAAUGGGAAAAUUCUACUAUCUUUGCCAUAUCCAGGAUUGUACAUCAAAUAUAUUGAAAAAGUAUAUGGAAUUUAAUGAAUAGUUCCUUAAGACUUUGAGAUAAAUGACUGCCUCUAAAAUAUCAAGAUUUUAGUACUAAUAGCAUGUUGUUGGAAAUGUAAUAUCAAUAAAUAGCUGUGAAUAAAUAAUUUGCUGACAGUUA